ensembl:lncRNA
GGGGCUUGGCGAACUCCCAGCUCUGGGGCUUGCCAUCCAGGACAGUGCAGUCCUUUUGCAGAGACACUCCAGAUUGCAGGAGCCUGCCUGGCUGGUGUUUCAGCACUGCCCCCUGCCCUCUCUCCUCCUGUCCCCAGGGCCCUGUAAUUUUUUUUUCCUCCACUGCCCAAGAGAAAGCAAGUGUCCCCCACCCAGGUGGCCUACGGGGAAGUCACAUUCAUGCCUGUAGUUGUCCUCCUGCACGAGAGGCAGGGCUGGGUGACAGGAAAGAGAAAGCCGUCUUCUCUGGUGCCCUUCACUAUGCUUCAUCUCCCCAGGGGGCUGGGCCUGUCUAACACACCCCUUUCCCAGGCUGCAGUAACCCCAAACCGUCUCAUCAGAGUGGGUGUAAAUCCCCACAAGUAUGUGGCAGGCAAGUAGCAGCAGGGACAGUGUGGUCGUGGCUGCAUCAGAACAAGAAGUCUGGGCUUGUGAGACUUGGAUCCCGUGUGCUCUCAGAAGCUUGACUGGCAGCCCCGCCUCCCUGGCAUCUGCUCCAACCAGGGUCUGGCUUUGGCACCAUCCCUGCCUGACUCUGGGUGGGCUGCCUUCCUCCAGGUCCAGUGCACGUGCUACUCCUUGGCGUAUCUGGGAUUACCUGGAGGCAGGGAGGCCAGGCUUGGAGACUCCAUCACCCCCACCCCAGUCAAUCAAUCAUGUCUCUAAGUAGUGGUUCUGAAACUUUAUGUGCAUCAGAAUAACCAAGGGAUGUGUUAAGAUGCAGAUUGCCUGGCCGGGUCCCAGGGUUUCUGAUCCUGUAGAUCCCCAGUGAGCCUGAUAAUUUGCAUUUCUAAUAAGCUUCCAAGUGAUGGGAGGCUGUAGCACCAGGGACCACAUCUGGAAACCAUUGAGCCAGAGCAGGACAAAUGGAAAACCUAGGUUUGAGUCCUGCCCUGAUGCUUUGCUUGGGCUCCAGGAACUUCAGUCCCUCUAUUGUCAAAGGUGGAGUCAUGACCACUGAGUGGUUGGGAAGAUCAAGUUCUUGACACUGGAUGUACGCACUGUGUUUGGCAAGUUGAGUGUGUGGGUUAGUCCACAGUUACAGUCUUUAUUGAGGAGUUUGUCUGCUGUCCAUUGGAUCCUCGGCCCAGUGUGGUGGCUUCUUUGGACAGAUUGUGUGUGAGAAUUCUAAGGUCCAGUUAAACAUCACACAUCUCUGGACCUUUGUUGUCUCCUUUGGAAAACAAGGCCUUUGGUCUGCUAGACUAAUGGCCCCUCCAGGUCCCGUUUUGAAGCCCAUCUCUGGGAGGUGGGGUAGGUCUUGGGAGGCACAGCCAUCAUUUUCAUUCCUUGCCCACCCCUUUCCAGGACCUCCACCUGAAAACCCAGGAGCCUCUGCAGAGCAAAGAACAUCGAUCACUAGUCAUUGGUCAUCUCAGCCCAGAGAGGGGUGGCACAGCCUUCAAGGUCCAUCAUAAUCUGGUUCCAACCUUCCUUUAUAAUCACAUAUCUUGGAGUUCCUAUCAUGGCUCAGUUUGUUACUGCUGAGCCACCAUGGGAACUCCUUUUUUUCAUUUUUUGCUGCCACACAGCAUAUGGAGUUCCCAGGCCAGCAGUCAGAUCUAAGCCGAAAUUGUGACCUACCCUGCAGCUGUGGCAGUGCCAGAUCCUUUAACUCGCUGUGCCGGGCCAGGCAUCAAGCCUGCAUCCUGGUGCUGCAGAGAUGCCACUGGUCCUGUUGCACCACAGCAGGAACUCCCCUUUGUGCUUUUCUAAGAGCAAUAGUCCUAUUCAGAAGGGCCCCAUCCCCACAAACUAAUCACCUCCCAAGGCCCCACCUACUAACUUUGCCUUUGAAGGUUAGGAUUUCAACAUAUACAUUUGGUAGGGAGCACAGCCAUUCAGGCCAUAGACUGUGUUGUUCAAUAUAGCAGAAAAGUGGUGGCUAUUGGUGAGAAAUAUUGAGUUCCAGAUGACCCAGCAUUGAGAAUAAUUCCAUUGCAAGACUAUGUGAAACACAAAGCAUGACUGAGUUAAAGCAGCAACCUGUGACCAGUGGAGACUGAGCCUAUAGCCUCUGGUCUGUCUGAUAAAUAAUUAGACCAUAAACAUCUCACUGUCCACAUUCUGAAUGUCCUCCACAUUAAGGAAGAGACCUUUGCGUAUCCCUAAUGGCCAGGAAGAUUUUGGUCAAAUUUUACUUUCUAGGGUUUGCGAAAGGAAAUCAAAAGGUUUGUUUUUUAACCACACAAAAAGUAUUAUAUUGAAUAUAAUGUCAACCUCCCCCUUAGACAUACUCACGCAUACACACACGCUCACCCUCUCUCCCUUGACGGUCACUGAGAUACAUGUAAAAAGAGCCAGUUCUGAAGCCAAUAGUAAAACUUUACUGUAUGCCAUUCCAGUCUCUGGGAAAUUGACUUAAUCUCAGACUUGGUGGCCAUAAUUUAGAGCUCAUAAGAGCCACUCCAAUAGUGUAAUGGGGAAAGGACCUAACAGGUAAGCCUGUCCCAAAGAUAGGGAUUCUUAAGUCAAGAGCCAAGCCAAAGGCACUGCAAAUUAGAAUUUCUUUGGAGGCCUUAAUUCCUCAGUGAGAACUGAAGCCGGAUCUGUGGUCCCUGGGAUCAGGAACUGGGGGAGGGGUAAGGCCUGUCACUGAACACACUUCCUCCCACAUGUCACAAUUUUUUUAACUGUGGUUUAAAGGAAGACAGUGUACAGCUACCUUUUAGGGGAAAGAAAGAUCACAAAAUGCAACCCACGGCCUUAGGGGCAUGUGGCAGGAAGAACAUACAGGACUUCGGAGUUGUCUGUCCCUGGAGUCAGUCAGCCAAGUCUCGGGCAGCUGAAGCAGCUAAGUUAGGGACACCAGUGUCUUUGUUAACAGUAUCUGGUGAUGUCAUCCUCCCAAGAUGAAGGGCACUGGGGUAGGAAAAAUCCUCCUGUGCUAUUAGGUUUCCACCUGUCGGAAUGCAUCUUUCUAGAUGACGUGGUGCCCUUUGCUGCUGAGCACACUUAACCCAAUGUUGUACAAAGAGAUGUAGGAAGAAAUAACAUCAUCAGAUCUUAGACAGAAACAACGCGUGUAUAAAGUGUCCUUCCCCCAAAUCACCGCAUGUGAGGAUGCCCCCAAGGAAGAUGGCCGCAAGUCACAAUGAAGAAGGCAGGGACAGGCAUGAAUUGCCCCCCACCCCCCACCCCCCGCCCCAGGCUGUGAGUGCUGGCACCCUUCUCUGUCACAUGCAUCCUUCCUGCCCUGCCUCUGGCUUGCAGCUUCUCUCUCUGCUUUGCUAGUGCUGGCUCCCUUUUCUCACUAAUAAUAACUAACCCAAGUCAUUAAAGGGAACUUGAGCAUUUACCAAGUGCUUUCACAGACGUUGUUGUGUUUGGGGCUCAUGACAACCCUGGGUAUCGCCUUCAUUUCGCAGAUGAGGUUGAGUGACCAGCCCACAGUCAGAGCUUUGUGCUUCGAAUCUCCUGGAUGCCUCCCCUCUGUUCUGCUGCCUUGCUCAGCCAGGUGUGAAAAACCUCCUCCGGGACCCCUGGCGCUUGGCCUCCUUCUUCUCCAUCACAGCACAGUUUCUCUGAACUUUCCAUCGCGGCAUUUGGCCACUUCCUCUCUUGUCCUGGGUGAGCCUGCAGGUUUCUAGCAUUUUCAGAUUUACUUUGAGAAACUUACCAAUGGGAAAGACCCUUAUACUCUUCUGUCUUUGAUUUCUUCCUCCGCUUGAGGUGAAUGUCUUCUGGAGAAACAGAAUCCUUGUGAUCACAGUGGGUUAAAUUUUGGUUUUGUUUCUUAUUAUGAUUUUUGAAUUAUUAAUAUAGUGUAAGUCUAUUAUAGAAUAUUUGGAGACUAGAGAAAAGGAAAAAAAUACCAUAAAAACUCCAUGAUCCUAACAUACUGCUGUACAUAAUCAACUUUAAUGAUGAUGUUUUAGGAAAAAUUUGAGUCUCCACUUAUUCUUGUAAAUACUGCUCUGUUUUUUCACAUAGAAUGUCUUUUAAGCUGGUGUUCUCUUUUCAAGACUCUACUACCAGUGCAUGGGUGCAGGGCACCUUUGACUGAUCUGCCUUGGUCUAUUUGAGUGUAACCGCAAAUCUAGUUCCAAUUAAAAGACUGGUCAGCUUGUUUUAAUCAAUUCUGUUGCCCUGUAGGUCAAAGAAGACCUCUUAUGGGAGUUCCCAUAGUGGCUCAGUGGUUAACAAACCCGACUAGGAACCAUGAGGUUGCGAAUUCGAUCCCUGCCCUUGCUCAGUGGGUUAAGGAUCUGGCAUUGCCAUUGGGCUGUGGUGUAGGUCGCAGACUCAGCUCGUAUCCCACGUUGCUAUGGCUGUGGCGUUGGCCAGGAGCUGUAGCUCUGAUUCGACCCCUAGCCUGAGAACCUCCGUAUACCGCGUGUGUGACCAAAAAAAACCAAAAGACCAAAAAAAAAAAAAAGAAAAAAAAAAA